UACGUAGGGUGCAAGCGUUGUCCGGAAUUAUUGGGCGUAAAGAGCUCGUAGGCGGUCUGUCGCGUCUGCUGUGAAAACUCAGGGCUUAACCCUGAGCUUGCAGUGGGUACGGGCAGACUAGAGUGCGGUAGGGGAGACUGGAAUUCCUGGUGUAGCGGUGAAAUGCGCAGAUAUCAGGAGGAACACCGGUGGCGAAGGCGGGUCUCUGGGCCGUAACUGACACUCAGGGACGAAAGCUAGGGGAGCGAACAGG
rnacentral:rRNA from 1 species